rnacentral:rRNA from 1 species
GAUUGAGUGCAUCUCGAUCUCCGCAUCGUACUACGCGCCUCUGGUAUCCCGGAGGGCAUGCCUGUUAGAGCGUCGUU